rnacentral:pre_miRNA from 15 species
CAAUCUAAAAGAUAUACUGUCAAUAGUGUGUUUGAUAACCUGAUGUGGGACAGGAGUUCUUUUCACUGUUGUGUCAGUUUAUCAAACCCUGGAAGCCCCUGCAGAGUUCCAUUGCCCC